UGAACGCUGGCGGCAUGCCUUACACAUGCAAGUCGAACGGCAGCACGGGUGCUUGCACCUGGUGGCGAGUGGCGAACGGGUGAGUAAUACAUCGGAACAUGUCCUGUAGUGGGGGAUAGCCCGGCGAAAGCCGGAUUAAUACCGCAUACGAUCCAUGGAUGAAAGCGGGGGACCUUCGGGCCUCGCGCUAUAGGGUUGGCCGAUGGCUUAUUAGCUAGUUGGUGGGGUAAAGGCCCACCAAGGCGACGAUCAGUAGCUGGUCUGAGAGGACGACCAGCCACAUUGGGACUGAGACACGGCCCAGACUCCUACGGGAGGCAGCAGUGGGGAAUUUUGGACAAUGGGCGAAAGCCUGAUCCAGCAAUGCCGCGUGUGUGAAGAAGGCCUCGGUUGUAAAGUCACUUUGUCCGGUAACGGAAAUACCUGAGGCGUAAUAUCCUUCGGGUAGUGACGGUACCGGAACGGAAUAAGACACCGGCGUAACUACGUGCCACGCACCCG
rnacentral:rRNA from 1 species